GCUGCCCUUCUGGUGCCCUCUUCGCGUGCCCCCGUGUCCCGUGCAGAGCGUCCCUGCCUCUCUGUCCUCGCUCAACUCGCGGCUCACGAUCCUAUGUCCCGAAUGUGGGGAUGGGGAAAGAAAAUGAGGAGCAACGCCUGCCUCCUCCAGCACAGAGUCAGGCACAGCUGCGGGUUCAAAAGCUCAAGUGGCAGUGGGGAUACGGAGUCCUUGGAAACACGAGCGCGUGGCCUUCGAACGGAAGUCGGAAGCCAGUUCCGACCAGCCUGGGGGACUCUGGGUCUUGGCUUCCGGCUGAAGCUGCUGUCCUCCUCUGCUGGUCCGGUGAAGUGCGUUAAGGAGUCACCUCCGGCCCACGGGUGCACGGUGGUGAGCGCUGGAAGUCAGACUAGCUGGAGUUCCCACAGUUGGUUUCACAAAGCCUCCCAUUCUUACAUCACAAGCAGACUAGGAUUGCAGAAGGCAACACUUAACUUCAAAGGACCCACCUCUCCUGCCACCCGCCCACAGCGCACACCUGACUCAGAACCACCUGUGCUUCUCACGGGCUGCAGACUUAGCUACAGACUCCAUGAACAAUUGCCUGGUGUGUUCGAAUUUGGCUGAAAUGGAACAUCUCCCUCUCAUCGACCCGACACUUUCGCCUCUAUCCUUCUGCACGCCUGUCCCAAGACAAACCUCGCUGCUCUGGAAGUUCCUGGGUCACAGCUCUUUCUGCCUUUGUUCGUCCAUUUACUCCGCUGGAGCUCACGCUCUCCCCCUGCUGUGCUCCGCAGUCUUCCAGAGCCAGGCGUCCCUCGACUGUGCCUCCUCUGGGCUCUGCAGUCCUACACUGCCCGACCCUGUCCCACCUGGACUACGACAAGCUCUUCUGGACCCUCUACGGUGGGCACGUAGCAAGCAUCAGCAACAGAAGCACUAAAAGCAGCAUCCUGCAGGCGUGUUCUGGGACUCGAGGCUGCAACAGGACAAGACCAGCUCAGACACUGCGGAGCAGCAGCCGUGACUGGAGUUACGAACACAGAAGCACCCAGACUGUGUCCCGAAACAGUGCCAGACUUCAUCAGGUCUACAAUGACAGCAC
rnacentral:lncRNA from 1 species